UAGGGUGUAUUUAGCUGUCAACAUUGGAAAUCCUGAGCAACAGAGGAAUAAUCGGCAAGUUCUUAAGGGACCUGGAUCCUUCCCUAUCAUCUCCAGCAUGAAACUGACCUCGCAAACAGCAUGCUGACUGCCCCUUGGUUCUCACUACACUGUGGCCUUCGAAGGUGUCAAAUAAGAACUCAUAUCUGUUGUGAAAAACCAUUUAUUUGGUAGUCAUGUGUUACGGUGGCCACUAGGAUCUAAUAACCUUAAGUAGUAGUUCAUGACCUUCCAUGGCACAAGUUCAAAGCCAAUGAUGUUAGCACUUGCUGUUUUCAAUGAAAUUCACAGAUGGGAUUUUCUC
rnacentral:lncRNA from 1 species